rnacentral:rRNA from 1 species
GACGAACGCUGGCGGCGUGCUUAACACAUGCAAGUCGAACGGAAAGGCCCUGCUUUUGUGGGGUGCUCGAGUGGCGAACGGGUGAGUAACACGUGAGUAACCUGCCCUUGACUUUGGGAUAACUUCAGGAAACUGGGGCUAAUACCGGAUAGGAGCUCCGGCUGCAUGGUGGGGGUUGGAAAGUUUCGGCGGUUGGGGAUGGACUCGCGGCUUAUCAGCUUGUGGGUGGGGUAGUGGCUUACCAAGGCUUUGACGGGUAGCCGGCCUGAGAGGGUGACCGGACAAAGUGGGAUUGGAAUACGGCCCAGCCUACUACGGGAGGCAGCAGUGGGGAAUAUUGCACAAUGGGCGGAAGCCUGAUGCAGCAACGCCGCGUGCGGGAUGACGGCCUUCGGGUUGUAAACCGCUUUCGCCUGUGACGAAGCGUGAGUGACGGUAAUGGGUAAAGAAGCACCGGCUAACUCCGUG